rnacentral:rRNA from 1 species
CUGCAACCCGACUCCACGAAGUUGGAUUCGCUAGUAAUCGCGCAUCAGCCAUGGCGCGGUGAAUACGUUCCCGGGCCUUGUACACACCGCCCGUCAAGCCAUGGGAGCCGGGGGCGCCUGAAGUCCGGGACCGCGAGGACCGGCCUAGGGCGAAACUGGUAACUGGGGCUAAGUCGUAACAAGGUAGC